rnacentral:rRNA from 1 species
UUAAUUUUCAUGGCUAGAGUGAACGCUGGCGGUAGGCCUAACACAUGCAAGUCGAACGGCAGCACAGUAAGAGCUUGCUCUUAUGGGUGGCGAGUGGCGGACGGGUGAGGAAUACAUCGGAAUCUACUUUUUCGUGGGGGAUAACGUAGGGAAACUUACGCUAAUACCGCAUACGACCUACGGGUGAAAGCAGGGGAUCUUCGGACCUUGCGCGAUUGAAUGAGCCGAUGUCGGAUUAGCUAGUUGGCGGGGUAAAGGCCCACCAAGGCGACGAUCCGUAGCUGGUCUGAGAGGAUGAUCAGCCACACUGGAACUGAGACACGGUCCAGACUCCUACGGGAGGCAGCAGUGGGGAAUAUUGGACAAUGGGCGCAAGCCUGAUCCAGCCAUACCGCGUGGGUGAAGAAGGCUUCGGGUUGUAAAGCCCUUUUGUUGAAAAC